GCCCGAGUAGCUCAAUUGGCUAGAGCCAUCAGCUCAUAACUGAUUCGGUGGGGGUUCGAGUCCCUCCUCGGGCACCA
rnacentral:tRNA from 1 species